ACAUUUGAACCCGAUCCCGAAUACAAGAGAGAUGAAAGCUUAGACGCGCCAAUCACAAUUGAGCUAGCCGAAUUGAAAACGUUGCCAGCUCUAUUUUCAGUACGAAGGAUUGAACGAAGGAGAAUAUCAAAAUUUUUCCGACAAUUCAGAUAAAUUGUCGAUGUGGCAACGUGCAUUCGAGAAUUCUGUCAUUUUGUUCUGGCUUUAGACCUCCUGAGUUAGCUAAAUCUUCAUAAUUACUUGUUUUAAUUAUUUUGUAUUUUCAUUUAUAACCAUUAGAAGUGAUAUUAGAUAUGCCUAGCAAGUGUUUUUUGUGUGGUUUUACUUAUAUUGUAGGAGGUGAAAUUAGUCUUCACAGACUUCCAUCGAAUCAACUUGAACGAGAAAAAUGUUUGCAGAGAAUUUCUUGGAACCGACCGGUGUUGGAAAAAAAAAUUUCUUUGCUCAAAUCACUUUCCUGAAAAUUGCUUCCGAUUAAUGAUACUAUGAAAGAGGCUUAUACCAGGAAGUUUGCCUUCUCCUUCUGAAAUCAAAUUGGAAAUAUCUCUGACCUACUCAGAAGGGAAUGGAACUAUUGAAGCACAGGACUUUACAGAAUCUGAUUCUAAAACACAAGAGAGUUGAGACUUCAGCUACUUUUAACUCUCCUUCAAAAUCUGCAUCUUCUAGCUAUAGUGACACUGAAAACCUACGGCUUAUCAAAGGAGGUUUGCCUUUAGAAAUUAAAUUGGAAAUACCUCUAUAAGUUGUAACAAAAAUUUUUUUUCAUAAUUUGUCAUAUUUCUUAUAAUUCCUUGCAUUGAAAAUCUUCCUCAGAAUAUUACCAUAUAACAUAAAGCAAUUUGCAGGACUUGCGCAGAAGGGAAUGGAAGUAUUGAAGAACAAGGCUCCACGGAAUCUCUAUAUGAUUCUAAAAUACAAUCUCCAUCAAAAAAAACAAUUGAGAUUUGACUUUCCAAUUACCAAUGAUCCAGAAGAAACACUGACUUUAACCUCUCCUUCAAAAUGUGCAUCAUUUAGCUCUAGUGCCACUUCUUUCUCCAAAAUGAAGUCGAGACGGUUUUUCUCAAAUCUCCGCUUAUAUUGGAGACUAUUCACAUCGUUAUUUGGAAAACCCUAUGCUGCGAAAGAAAUACUUUAGGUUGUCUCGAAGAAUCCUGUCCAAUUUCAAGGUCAAAAAUAAAAUAUUGUGUGUGUCCAUCCUGAAGUCAAAACUACACUUGAGAAAAACCUUGGGGUAUCUUUCCAAUGCCUAUCAAUUUGUAGUUGAUAUCUAUACUCAGGCUGAGAAGACAUUUAGGUGGACAGAAAGGGUUUUUAUUAUAUUCGAUAAAAAUUAUUCGAACUUGUUAUUAUGUCUGGUUCUCACUACAGUGUUGAUCCAAAAUUGUUCAAUGUUUUCAAUCAGCAUCUGUUUGAUGAUGAACCAGGGAGAAUCCAUGGUCCUCUUAUAACGAAAAUGAUUCUGGAAACUAAUUUCAAUUUGACGAUUCAUCAUAAAUUGAGAAAUCGACAGAGUGCAAAAUUAUAUUUGAAUCGGUUGAGAAGUAGAUUGAUAAAAACUAUAUUCGAAAAUCAAUAAAAUUUUCUAAUAAUGUUUGAAACCAAUAAUUUUAUUUGUACUGUAUUUCUGUGAUAAAUAUAUUCUGUUGUUUUAUUGAACCGAUAGAUUUUUUUAAUAAUAUUUGUAAACCAAUUAUUUAUAUUCUGUAUUUCUGUGAUAAAUAUAUUCUGUUGUUUUUUCUAA